GCACAGGUAGUUCAAUUGUACAACCCCUGCCUCCUGCUUGGUAAGCGGAAGCCCCGGGUUCGAUUCCCGGUCUGUGCA
rnacentral:tRNA from 1 species